UUUAUAUUGUGUUUAUUUAUUUAUUUAUUUUGACCUUUUUUACUAUUAUAUAUUAUAUAUUCUGAGAAUGCAUGAGCGUCCAAUGAGCAUUGAGCAACCCUCAGCUGGAUCCAAUCACUUUGAGGACUGACACACCUCCUCAUGGGCGGCUCUCUAAGCUCAGCAGUGCCUGUCAUGCACCGUCGUUUUUUGGAUAUGCCAGCUGUACCUGGGCCACGAUCCGAACACUGGCAGGUUCUGCUGAAGAAGCCCUGAAGACAGACAUGAGCAGUCAGAAUUCUCCAAAGGCUGGGCGGACCUGUUGACAGCUACAUGGAAUAUGGGCAGAAUACAAGCAACAGAGGGUGUGCUGUGAGAGGCAUCUAUAUCAAAGCAAACACCCCCCUUUUUUGGAGGAGGAGCAGAAAAACCAAACACACACUCGCUAUUCUUCCACAAACCCCAAAAUACCUUCAUUUACCAAUCCAGUCAGGUCAUUCAUGGAAAUCCUUGUGAUAUCUUCUCAGCAAACACAACAACAACAAAUUAUUCUUAUAAUAAUAAUUAUUAAUAUUGUUAUGUGCAUCAUUGUAUUGUUUUUAUUAUAUAAAAGUCUACAUGAAACUUU